rnacentral:rRNA from 1 species
GUGGGGAAUUUUGGACAAUGGGCGCAAGCCUGAUCCAGCAAUGCCGCGUGCAGGAAGAAGGCCUUCGGGUUGUAAACUGCUUUUGUACGGAACGAAACGGUCCGGGUUAAUACCCUGGGCUAAUGACGGUACCGUAAGAAUAAGCACCGGCUAACUACGUGCCAGCAGCCGCGGUAAUACGUAGGGUGCAAGCGUUAAUCGGAAUUACUGGGCGUAAAGCGUGCGCAGGCGGUUUUGUAAGACAGGCGUGAAAUCCCCGGGCUCAACCUGGGAAUUGCGCUUGUGACUGCAAGGCUGGAGUGCGGCAGAGGGGGAUGGAAUUCCGCGUGGAGCAGUGAAAUGCGUAGAUAUGCGGAGGAACACCGAUGGCGAAGGCAAUCCCCUGGGCCUGCACUGACGCUCAUGCACGAAAGCGUGGGGAGCAAACAGGAUUAGAAACCCCUGUAGUCC